rnacentral:rRNA from 1 species
CUAGGUCGGAUUAGCUAGUUGGUGAGGUAAUGGCUCACCAAGGCGACGAUCCGUAACUGGUCUGAGAGGAUGAUCAGUCACACUGGAACUGAGACACGGUCCAGACUCCUACGGGAGGCAGCAGUGGGGAAUAUUGGACAAUGGGCGAAAGCCUGAUCCAGCCAUGCCGCGUGUGUGAAGAAGGUCUUCGGAUUGUAAAGCACUUUAAGUUGGGAGGAAGGGCAGUAAGUUAAUACCUUGCUGUUUUGACGUUACCGACAGAAUAAGCACCGGCUAACUCUGUGCCAGCAGCCGCGGUAAUACAGAGGGUGCAAGCGUUAAUCGGAAUUACUGGGCGUAAAGCGCGCGUAGGUGGUUCGUUAAGUUGGAUGUGAAAGCCCCGGGCUCAACCUGGGAACUGCAUCCAAAACUGGCGAGCUAGAGUACGGUAGAGGGUGGUGGAAUUUCCUGUGUAGCGGUGAAAUGCGUAGAUAUAGGAAGGAACACCAGUG